GAUGAACGCUGACAGAAUGCUUAACACAUGCAAGUCUUUGGCGAAGCUGUGCUUGCACAGCCUAGCCAAGGCGGACGGGUGAGUAACGCGUAAGGAACUUGCCCUGCAGUCAGGGAUAACAGACGGAAACGACUGAUAAGACCUGGUAAAGUCAGGCGGACUCAUGUCCAGCCUGAUGAAAAGAGAUGCUGCAGGAGAGCCUCGCGUCCUAUUAGCUUGUUGGUGGGGUAACGGCCCACCAAGGCGAUGAUAGGUAGCCGGCCUGAGAGAGUGGACGGCCACAAGGGGACUGAGAUACGGCCCUUACUCCUACGGGAGGCAGCAGUGGGGAAUAUUGGACAAUGGGGGCAACCCUGAUCCAGCAAUUCUGUGUGCACGAUGAAGGUUUUCGGAUUGUAAAGUGCUUUCAGCGGGGAAGAAAAAAAUGACGGUACCUGCAGAAGAAGCGACGGCUAAAUACGUG
rnacentral:rRNA from 1 species